GGCAGUGUUGCAUUUUCCAUUACUGCUCAUGAACAGGCUCAACCAAACCGAGUCUGCAAUUUUCACUGUUUGUCUUGUUCUUGGUGCUUCCGAGGGAUCUACUUUCCAGAUUUUAUUUAUAUUAUAGCAUUGUCGGUCUGUAAACCUUUUUAUUUCCAGACUACCUGUAUUUAGUCAGGAUGUAUCAUACAUUCAUUGCUAUGGCUUUCAUAUUUUAAGCAUUAGCUAACAACCACUAAGAAAAGUUCCCUAUUGACUAAGGAUCAAAUGUCAAGGUCACAGAGACCCAAUCUUUCUUGUUUGUUGAUGUUUUUCUAACAUAUUUUUUCUAUGUAAGUUAAAAAUAUAAUACUGAAAAAAUAUGAUAAAUUAAGUAUUUAUCAACAUUAGGAGCUUUGAAAAAAUGAGGAUAGAUAAUCUAGACAAGUCAUGUGAUUUUAUUUUUUCCCCAUAAGUUUGAAAUUGGCAUCUUUUCUAGCAUUUUUAUAAUAAGCUAAAAUUACUGCCUUGGCCUAUUCCACGUGCAAACAGGCAUGGUUGUUACGUGGCAUUUUUGUUAUAGCUGUAAUACAUAUUGCAUUUUGAUAAGACCAUUCUUUUUAUAUACUGUAACUAAUUAUUAAUGAUGCACAACCAACCCACUUAGCUCAACAGGGAGAGUGCAGAUCUGCACGUCAUGGGAUUGCAAGUUUGAUCCAUUGAUUGAGACAUAUUCUUCAUGACAAAAGACAUUGUGUCUGAUAUCAGUUUGUCCUCCACCUCUGAUUCUUGAGGAGAAAUUGGCAGUUACUUGCUAGAUUAGUACUGAAAUAGAACCCAAGAACUCUGGUUAGGUUAACUGCCCGCUGUUACAUUACUGAAAUAUUAUUGAAAAAUGGUGCUAAACCAUAAAUAAACAAACAAACAAACAAAUUAAUGAUGUUUUUUGUUAAAUUGGUUGUAGUUUUUAUGCUUACUACUUUUUUAGGAUAAAAGGAAAUUUAGGACUUUCAUAAAUAUGUUUGUCAUAUUAUGUUGUUUGAAUAUAUUUCUGUAUAAUUGACUAGCGAAAUUCAGAUGAAAUAUACAGAAUUGUUCAGUAUUUUUAUCCUGCAGUCCCACACACAACCCUACUCCUCCUCACACUUGUAAAUCAAAUAAAUUGUUAGCUGCCCUGUCCCAGUCUGCUUGAGCAUGGGCAUAUUAUUCCCAGUUAUGCAGAGCUCUUGUUAUUGUUGUUAAUAUUGUCAUGUGUAGAUAAAUUAAAAAAAGUUUCUGUUUUAUAGAAAAAGCUUCAUUGUAUCUUGCAGAUGAUAAUGGUGUUUGGGAUUUAUUUUCUGGGUUUGUAUGGAGGGUUAGGGUUUCUUUAACUUUCUGGAUUACAGUAUAAUGUGACAUUAUUGGAACCAUUUUUUACCUAAAGGACAUGACAAAGUAUAUUUUAUAGAGUUCAUGUAUCAUGUAAAAUGCUGAAAGUGUCUUAAACAUUGUGAUAGAGAAAAACAAGUGUGACAACUCCUGCCUUAUCAAUAGACAUAUUUUAGUACAGUUAUUAUAGUGAUAGUACCUAGUAUAUAGUGAUAGUUUAUAGUUUAUUGUUGUUAACAUUUUGUCUUUUGGCAAGUAUGACACAAAUUUUUACCUGUUGAUUUAUUAACUUUGUUUUUUGCUGUAAAAUAACACACAAAUAUUGUAUAAGUAUAACAGUAAUAUUUUUACAGUUAAUGUGUUUAUGAUAGGACCAAAAUAUAUUUUCUGUAUUUGAAUAUUAGAAUCUAUAUAUACCAUCAGAUUAUGCAUGUUUACUGGUGUUAAGAAAAUACAGAUUCCAAAUUAGAAGAUGAAAAAUAAUAAAUCAACUCAACAUAUCUUAUUACUGUUCUGUUACCUAUAGUACUUAAUCUGACUGCCAUGUUUUUCUGCAUUUUUUUGUGUGUAAAAUAGCCUAAUGUUGAGGGUGUUAUAAAGUUUAUUAUGUGAGCUGUAUUGUACAAAAUCCAUGUUAUUUUAGUCAGUUAUACGUCCUUAUUAUAUAUGUGUUUUCUUAAAUUAUUCAAAAAAUUAUUCCAGUAUCGUAUUUCAUUGAUUUAUUUCAUUAUUUUUAUGCCUCCGUUCUAUCAUUUAUUCAUGUACAAGAUGGAAAGGUGUUAAUGUUCUCUAUAUAAAUGUAUGUUAAUUAACAUUCUGUCUUAGUCUAUUAAUUGGAUAUAUAAUAUACAUCAGGAACGUUUAACUAGCUUGAUUACUGAAUGUCAUUGCUAACACCAGCUUCAUACUGUUAAAGGGUCAUGCAUCUUGAUGAACAUGAAAAUGUUGUUUAUGAUAUAGAUAUCAGGUACUCAAUUUUAAGUUGAUAUAAGAUACAACUGAAUUAGUUCUUUCUGAGGUCAUUUUUCUUCUGCUUGACUGCUACAGUAUACUUUAGAUAAAUACAAAUUAUAGACUGUAAAAUUUAGUGUUUUUGUGUCUCCCAAAAUUUGGGGGAUGGUGGGUGUCACUUGUCUUGUCUUGAUUUGAUCUUGUCUGUCCAUCUGUCUGUUUAAAAUCUCAAAAAGUAUUUGACCAUGUGAAGUUGUGUGCCUGAUGUUUUAAUUGGGAUUUCACACAGCCAAACCAGAGUUAUGGUCCUUGACUAAGUCAAAAACAUGUAUACAAUGACAGGAGUAGGGGCACCACUGUCCUAUGGACACACAUCUGAUUAUAGAUGCUUUAAAGCAUAGCUGUUGUGUAAUUAUGUCAGGUGCUUUCUUAGAGAGAAAAUGUUUUACCUAAGAGUGAUAUUAUGCAAUAUUUUUACCUUUUAUUGAUAUUGACAAAAUUAUGUGCCUCAUGCAUAUAUAUAGAUUACUAAUUAAGUUCUCAUGAAAAUUAGGGGAUUGUGUAAACUUUUAGUUAUAUUAAAUGGUAUAAAUCAUGUUACAGAUACAAAACAUUUACAGUGGAACCCCUCUAAACGGAACAGCUUCCGGGCCAGGGUAAAAGUUCUAUUUGGAGGCUUUUUGGUUCAGAGGGGUUUAGUCAGUGGAAUGUGUGGUACACUACGUAAAUAAAUACACAGUUUGCAAGAAACCAGAUUUAUUUCUAAUCCUCUUUGUGUUUAGUUACUAUAUAAAAACAACACCAUAAAGAUGAGAGGGAUAUAUGCUACCAAAUAGGGUAAAUUCUUGUAUUCAUAAUAAAAGACAUGACAAAAUUCUGAUUGCCUUUAGAAUUAUUCAGUUUUCAGCAGGACUUUUGUUGAUAAAGACAAGUUCAGUCUGCAAAAAUUGUUGUUUCCAAAUUUUUCAAGUGUAUUUUCCUAAUGAAAUAAGAAGACAGAUUUCAGGACCACAAAAUUUGUUCAGUUGUAGGGUUUUCGGUGUUCAGUGAUUCUAGUUUUGAGAAGUUCCACUGCACAUAUUUUAUGUCUUAUUGUCAAUCAUUCCUUACAGUUAAUAUUUGCACUACAUUAAAUACAAAGGUAGUGUUGUCUUUAAUCUAGUCAUGACUCUUUUUGGCUUGAUGUAGACUUAGUUUAUUUUUGUUUUGAUUGUACAAAAUUGUAGUAAUUUAACUUAGUUAUAACAAAAACACCAGUCGGGAUAAAACUCAAGUACAUUUAUACUUAAUUGUUUUCAUAGUAUGGAUGAAUUUCUUGACACUGUUUAAUUCUGAAAUGCCAUCCAUUUGUCUGGUGUUCAGUUAUGGUGAAGGGUAAACAUUUUGAACAUUAUACCUUUUUUUUAGAGCUUUAUUUUAUGGGUAUAUUAGACCUAAAUUUCAUAUUUCAAAAUGUGAACAAUUUCUGCAUAUAUUAUCAGCAAGUUUAUGUGUAUUAACAGUACUAUGUGUUUAAAAUAGUACACAGUACACAUGUAUAAAAUUGAACACAGUAUAAAUGUUACUGCAUGACUUUUAAAAGUAAAUAUCUAAAGAUUAAAUAUUUCAGUGAAAGAUGGACAGUGGAUAUUUUAAUGUUAAUUUUCAUUGAAAAGAUCAUGUACUUAAGGAUGCUGUUGAAGUGUUUGCUGUAAAUGUGAAAUGUUUGUAUAGAAUUGGCAUUUCUAAUAUAUCUCUAGGUAUUUAAGUGAUUAUAACAUAAUAUUUCAAAGUUUAUGUUUAGUUUAAGUUUAUAUUAACUGACUGCUGUACAUUAUGAUAAUACUAUAAACAUAUAACAAGUGUUAGUCAGACUCAGCUUUAAGGGGUGUGCCUCCAGACUGGUGUAAAGGAUUGAUGUAACAAAGCAGGAAUUUGAAUAUAUUUUAUUUCACACAAGUAAAUUAUUGACUGGAAUGAUAUAGAUCUAUGUUCAGACUAUUCCAGUUAUUUUAAAAAGUAUGAUAUUGAUGUUAAUCUGGAAGCAAGUCCUUUUUACAUGUAACUAUUUUUAUUAUGUACACAAAUUAAAAAAUCUAUGUUAAUUGCAUGUUGAAGUUUUAGAUGUAUUUUAUAUUGUAAUAAAUGGAGGAAGUCUGA
rnacentral:lncRNA from 1 species